AUUGAACGCUGGCGGCAGGCCUAACACAUGCAAGUCGAACGGUAACAGGAAGAAGCUUGCUUCUUUGCUGACGAGUGGCGGACGGGUGAGUAAUGUCUGGGAAACUGCCUGAUGGAGGGGGAUAACUACUGGAAACGGUAGCUAAUACCGCAUAACGUCGCAAGACCAAAGAGGGGGACCUUCGGGCCUCUUGCCAUCGGAUGUGCCCAGAUGGGAUUAGCUAGUAGGUGGGGUAACGGCUCACCUAGGCGACGAUCCCUAGCUGGUCUGAGAGGAUGACCAGCCACACUGGAACUGAGACACGGUCCAGACUCCUACGGGAGGCAGCAGUGGGGAAUAUUGCACAAUGGGCGCAAGCCUGAUGCAGCCAUGCCGCGUGUAUGAAGAAGGCCUUCGGGUUGUAAAGUACUUUCAGCGGGGAGGAAGGGAGUAAAGUUAAUACCUUUGCUCAUUGACGUUACCCGCAGAAGAAGCACCGGCCAACUCCGUG
rnacentral:rRNA from 1 species